CUCUGCCAGUUAUGUUCAUUUAAAGGCAUCUAGCCAUGGAAAUUACCCUAGAAAAGAUUUUCCUUAAUCACACUUUAGGGUUGUUUUAAUUACUAAUGAUAGAAUGCUUUAGAUAUACACCUUCGUGUUGAUUAUUUCAUACGAUCUAUGAAAUGGGGCUGAUGGGAAGGUCAUGGCUGAGUUCUUAUUUUUAAUUAAAUUCCAAUUUCACUCCAGAAUUCGAAGCUCAUUAUAUUAAAGAAAUUUCGAAUACAGAAUAAUUCUUUCAUAUUUAAAAUCCUUUUAUGUAUUUCUCUUUUUUAAAAAAAAUAACUUCCAGUUUCAUUAACUUUGUGCAAAGGAGCUUAUUUUUUUGUAAAUAAAAAAAUAGUUCUAGAAGCCUUUGCUAGACACUCCAGAAAUACGGAGAAAAUACGGAGAAAUUUCUUAGGAGGGUUUUUGUUGUAGUUUUAAAAAUGAUUGCCUCUCACUUCAGUUAUAAAUAGCAAUAGCAUAUUUUCUCUUUAAACAAUCUAUGAAAUGAGAAAAAUAACUACCAUUCUGGGUGUCCUAUAGGUUUUGGAUUUCUACCGGUAGUAGUCUGAAAGAAGAUGGGAAAAGGCUUCAAAGUGUUGGUGUGUGGAAUGCGUUCAGUGGGAAAGACGGCCAUCUUGGAACAAGUUCUGUACGGUAAUCACACUACUGGUGAAGAGUGCAGCAGAACUAUGGAAGAUGUAUAUGUUGCUGUGGCUGAAACGGAUCGAGGACUAAAAGAACAAUUACGUCUGUAUGACACCCAAGGACUACAAGGAGAAGAGGAUUUCUCCAAACAUUACUAUUCUAUGGCAGAUGGCUUUGUUCUAGUGUAUGCUGUAAAUAGUCUGGAAUCUUUUGAGAAAGUUAAGUGGCUCAAAAAGGAGAUUGGCAAGUUUAGAGAAAAGAAAGAGUGGCCAAUUAUUGUUUUAGGUAAUAAAACUGACCUUUUGGAGGAAAGACAAGUACAGAAUGAAGUUGCACAACAGUGGGCUAGGAUUGAGACAGUGAAAUUAUGGGAAGUGACAGUCAUGGAUAGAAGGACAAUGAUGGAGCCCUUUGUUGUGUUAGCAAGCAAACUUUACCAAUCACAGAACAAGUCAACAUUUUCUUUCUCCCAUCGGAAACUCAAAUACAAUAAGGAAGAUUACUGAAUGCUCUUAUGCCUCCACUGGGCCAAGAAUCUGCUGUGGCUUUUGCAUUUCUAGAGUUGUUCAUUUCUAGAACAACUAAAGCAGAUCUCGCACAUCAGGAUGAGAACGGCAUCUGAAAUAACUUCAAAAAACACUGAAAUAAUCAUAGUAGUCUGUUUUGUGGAAUGCAAACUGGAGAAUGCUUGAGUGCAGAAAAAAGCCGCCUUUUUCUAAAGGGGGCAUUCUAGAGUCAUUGGGAAUAUUGCCACUUCAAUUAACAUUUCAGAAAAGAAAUGAAAGAACAAGGAAUGGCACAUAAUAUGCAGUUGUGCAAAGGCCCAUCUGGUCAUGGCUUCUUGAGCAAGAGUUGUGAAUCCAUGAGAAACUCUGGAUUACGUAUCAGAUCUGUCGGGGGAGUGGAAUCCCAUCCACAACCAAAGUUGGUAAUUCUUCAAGAACCAAGAGGCUCCAAAUCCAAAAGCACUCUGUCUUAUCAGGGUUCAGUUUUAAACUGUUGCUUCCCACCCAGACCUUAACAGCCUUAAUUAAGUGAGAAAGGGCGAUUGCAGCAUCACCAUGGCCAGAGAUGUAUAAUUCAAUAUCAUCAGCAUAUUGAUGAUAUUGUAUCCCAUUGUGAUGGAUGUUCUCAUCCAGCAGUUUCAUGUAGAUGUUAAACAGGAGUAGAGAAAGCACCAACUCUUGAGGGACUCACAAUCAGAAGUCAAGUGUUUGAUCUCUCUCUCUUCAUCAACAUUGACUGGAGGAAAAGCAGGACAACACUAUGACUCUCUACUGCCAGUCUAAGCUGUUCCAGAAAGACAUCAUCCAUGAUUGAUGUUAUCAAAAGCUGCUGAGAAAUCAAGUGGAGCAUACGCUACCCAGGUUUCCAUGUUGUUGAAGAAUAUGCUAUUGAUGAACUCAGUAUAGUAUUUUUGGGAUGAUAUGAUACAAGUUUCUCUGCUGAAAUUGCAUUUUGGUCAUUUGAAACUAGUUUGGAAGAAAUAUAUAAACAAGACAAUUUUACUCUAUAUGAGUUGUAGCUAAAACUGUGGCAAUAAACUGUCAGUAUCUAAAUACCAGCCAUUGUUGAACAUGCAAAACAAAUGCAUUUCUUUUACUGAUGAUUGUUCUAAAUGAUGAUUGUUAUACUUGGAAAGGGCCCACAGGCAAACAUCUAUAAGAAAUAGAGGCAGAACACAAAUGGCAGAAUUUGAUUUGAUAGAGUAAAAAGAGUGAUACAUAGCAUUCUAAUACCAUUCUCAAAUUAAUUUGCAUAAUUUGACUCUAGUAGACAAACAGGAUAGUAUGAUAUUCAAAUAUUGAAACAAAAGCACAAAAGGACCAAAAAGAGACGGGAUGCAUUAAAAAAGAGGAAAACAUUUUCUGUGAUAACAUUCGCUUUUUUGUCAGAAUACUAUGUACUUAUGUCUAUGCUACUUACUGAUGAGUACAAAAAUAUUUGUGAAUGACAGGAGGUAGACAUUAGGCAAGAAUGUUUAUGACUUCUUACACAACUCCUCAAACUUGCCCAUCCUCCUAUUUAAGCACUAGCACAACUUGACAUUUCCUACAGAGUUGAGGGUGUGGUGUGGUGUGGUGUCUGUAGUUAUCUGAGUCUUCUACAAUAUUUCUCUGAAUUUCCAAGUGUUCCACGUAGUUAAUAGAUUGUUAUUAGAUAAUUUAGCUUGAAAGAAAGGUAUGUCGUCAAUACCAAAAACUAAUUUAGAAGAAAUGUAUCUAAUACUUUCCUCAGUUAAUAAUUUUUAUAGCUCUAUUGUUUUUUAAUGGUUAAAAAUAGGUAAAGUCUAAUAAGAUUUUCUUUCGGAGCUAGGUGAAUUAUGAGACAAAAGAAAGAGUAACUGAAAGAGUAACUAUAUGGAUCUCUUCUAAGCAACAUUUUACAGCAACGUGGAGUAUUAUCGUGAUUUCUAAACACUAUAUUAGAAGCUUUAACUUGAUACCACAGGGCACACAUUUAAAAUAAUUAAUCUGGUAUCUUCUUAAUGUAUCUAUCUCCACACAUUUAUGUUUAUGAGAGUGACAGCUAAGAUGUUCGUUAGCAUCUUAUUCCAAGUGAAUAGCCUCCUUAAAUAUUAUAGAAAUAUUAAAAUAUACUGAAAACAAUAA